UAGUCGGGUUGUGCGGUGUGUGGAUUCACCCGGGAUCAUGGUGCUGGUUGGAGUAUGGAUAGUUCGCAACUGCGGGAAAGGUCGAGGUAUCGAAGUUCUGUAAGGGCGGUGCGCGCAGGGUAGCGGCAUUGCCGUGGCAGUCAGGCUUGCGGUUCAGACUAAGCAGAGAGUGAACUGAGUUCCGUUCAGCGAUCAAUCAUGAGGGUGG
rnacentral:lncRNA from 1 species